rnacentral:sRNA from 1 species
CAUUUGGAGAGACACCUGCAAUAUUUCAUAAAGAUGAAAAUUUAUUUCUAGUGAACUUAUACACUUGUCAAUAAAUAGUAACUUUAAAAUUUUAGUUGAUUGUAAAUGACCUUUUCUAAUUAGGGAGUAAUUAUGACUGUGUGAUUUGAGAAGGUAAUUUUGAACUUGUAACUUUACUGAAUUAUCUCCAGUAUCCUUUUUUAUAAUAUAUACUAGAGUGACUGGUAAUAAAAACUUUAGCAGAAUAUUCUUUCCUUACUACUUUUCAAGUAUAUGCGUUCUUUUGAAGAUGUUGAAGUGAGAAAUUAAAUAUCUGAGAACUGCAAAGGAAAAAUAAUCCAGAACAUAGAAAUUUUAUUAGGAUAAUAAACAACAUCUGCAGAGGUAGAUCACAGGAUGAACUCUUUAUUUUUUAACAAAAUGAAUUUUAAGAUAAAUGUCUUUAUCUGCAGAUGCACCUUAAAACAAGAAAAUGAAGAAAAACAAAUGUUAAUAUGCUGUACCAAAAAAAUAGAGAAGAAUUAGAAAGGAAAGAGAAACAAUAUAAGAAAGAAGUUGAAGCAAAACAACUUGAACUGACUGUUCAAUCACUAGAGAUGAAAUCAAAGACUGCAAGAAAUACUCCAAAUCAGGAUUUUCAUAAUCAUGAAGAAAUGAAAGAUCUGAUGGAUGAAAAUUGCAUUUUGAAGACAGAUAUUGCUAUACUCAGACAGGAAAUAUGCACAAUGAAAAAUAACAACCUGGAAAAAGAAAAUAAAUAUCUUAAGGACAUUAAAAUUGCUAAAGAUACAAAUGCUGCUCUUGAAAAGUGUAGAAAACUCAAUGAGGAAAUGAUAAGAUAAGUUCUGUAAGACAAGAGAUACUCUCAGAAAAAAGUCAUUGGCUUUAGAAACUGUACAAAACGACCUAAGCCAAACACAGCAGCAAAUAAAGGAAAUGAAAGAGAUGUAUCAAAGUGCAGAAGCUAAAGUGAGUAAAUCCACUGCAAAGUGGAACUGUGUAGAAGAGAGGACAUGUCAACUGCAACGUGAAAAUCCAUGGCUUGAACAGCAACUAGUUGAUGUUCAUCAGAAAGAGGAUCAUAAAGAGAUAUUAAUUAAUAUCCAAAGAGGCUUUAUUAAGAGUGGAAAGAAAGACCUCAUGCUAGAAGAGAAAAAUAAGAAGCUAAUGAAUGAAUAUGAUCAUUUAAAAGAAAGUCUCUUUCAAUAUGAGACAGAAAGCAGAAGCAGAAAGAGUAGUAAGUAUCAAGGAAGAUAAAUAUUUUCAAACUUCUAGAAAGAAAAUUUAAACAUUUGGUUCUGGAUACAUGUUGAACCUAGUUGAAUAUAAAAAUCAGUAGAUAAAAAGUGUGUUUACUACACUGUAUAAUUCAUUUACAUGAAGCAUCCAGAGAAGAGAAAUGUAUAGGUACAAAAAGUAGAUUAAUGUUUGCGAAGGGCUGGGGCUGGAAGCUGGUAGUGACUGCUAAUGGGCGUGAGGGAUCUUGCAGUGAUGGAAAUGCUCUAAAGUUGGAUUGUAGAGAUGGCUGCACAGCUCAGAAAAUGUACUGAAAAUCUUUUAACUUUAUGUUAAAACAGAUACAUUCUAUAGUAUGUAAAUUAUAUUUCAACAAAGCUUUUUAAUUAAAAAAAGGAAAAAUAUGUUUACUAUAUCAGCUUAGAAACAUACCUUGUUUCCAUAGAGGUGAGAGAUGAUUUACUUUGAGAGAAGACAUUGUGUCAUCUAUGACAUUUUAUUAGGCACAGAGUCAUAUGUUAAGGUAGAUAGUCCUGUACUGCUGAAAUAAUAAUUUUAAUGUCUUUAUGUUGCCACAUGUUAAGACCAUGAUGAAGUUAUAAAUGGAAAUGUUUACACCUGAAAUGAGUAUUUUCAAAUUAAAAUUUAAUUAAGUGAUUUGCUUCGACACUUAAUUCUAGAUUUCCCAGAUGAACUGAAGUGUAUUGCUGUGUCUUAUAAUAUCUUGCUUUAAGUAGUUUUUUAUAUAUUUUAGUUGGUAUAGCUUUAUUAUUAUUCAUAUUAAUUUAACUUAAAUCUGAAAAUAUGUCAGUCUCAAAUUACGUAUUUCUAUGACCACGUAAUGUUUUAAAGGCACCUACUUGUUAUAAAAUUAUAAUUUAGGGUAAAUGUGGUAAAUUUUAGCAAAACCAUAUUUGAUUUAGUCUUCCCACUGGUAUUCAUAAUUUACUUAGAAUAUUUUUAUUAAUAAUUAGCUCAUAAUUUUUAUUUCAAGGCUCAAUGACUAUCAUUUGAAUAUAACUUUGUCCAGUACAAAGAUACUGUAGCUGCCUGUGAUUUAUGAGUUAGGCAUUAGAUCCCCAUUUUCAGACUAAAGAGGGGUGGCAGGCUUCACGUACAGUGGGAAUGGAGUAAUUACAGGAGGGAGUUGUAGGAGCUUGAAGUCAGAGAGGGAGGUAGAGGCCUGUUUACCUAGGGCCUCAAAGGCCAUUGGAAUUUUACUUUUAUUCUGAGACAGGAAUCUGUUGGAAGGAUUUGAACGGUUGAUUGAAUAUGUUAGGAACUUUGAGGUUGAGUUGAGCUUCUAAGAUGAUUGAAUGGUGGGAUGAAUCUGUUGUAUUAAGAGAAUACCAAUUUGGCAGGAGGAUAACACAUUCUGCAUCCCUCACUGAAUUCAGUAAUAAAUAAAAGUGUGUACAUAUGAUGAAAAGAAGGUGAAUUGAUGUGUGUGAGAUAAUUUUCAACGUAGGUAUGUUAGAGUUAAAUGUUAUUAACAUAAUUUAAUAAUAAGGCAAUUUAUAAAAUCAGUAACAAAAAUAUUUUAUCAGGUGGUUGUGAGACAACUUCAACAAGAAGUGGCUGACAGCCUAAAAAAAUUAACUAUGUUAGAGUCUCCACUGGAAGGUACAUCAUGUUGUCACAUUAAUUUGGGUGAGACACAGGCCUCAAAGAAGAAAUUAUUUCAAGUGGAAAGUCAAGUAUGUAUGGAAUUUAACAUGUCGACAGUUAUUCUGUAGCUGGUUGAAUUAUAUAACAUGUUUUAGGAUACUAAUUUUGGCAGAAGCUUGAUUUUGUACUUUCAUUAUAAUUAAUUAUUUCCAUUUUACUAUCUUUAAAAUGUACUUUUUUUUUUUAUAUUGUGACUUUUGUUCUACCAUUUUGAAAAAGGAUUGCAUACCUAUUCUCUUACAAUAUGUACCCUUGGAAAAGUUGAUAAUUAUACAUCAUUCCUCAGAGAAAAUUGACUUUUUUCCUGUUAAACAUAUAUUCAAGUAAUUUUUGUAUUGCUAUGAUGAGACAGGCCAGAUUAAAUCAGAGGACAAUGUUUAAUGGAAUGUUCCAGAAAAUUGUCUUAUUUCUUCACUUUUGUGAAUGGACACAGAAUCUGUGUCUAUUUCGCAGAUUCUAAGUUAACUUGUAUAGAAAGACCAUUAUACUAUUCUUUGAAAUGUACGUGUUUUAUGUUAAUUUACAAACUAUUUGAAAAGUUAGGCAUUUUCUUUAUUUACCUUUUAUUUAAAAUAUACUAUAAAAGUAUAGAAAUAUUUAGAUCUGAUACAGGAUGUACAUCAAAACUUGAGAGCUGAGAAAAUUAUCUGAUCACCAUUGGAUUUUAAAAACAGUUUCACUGAGAUAUAAUUCAUGUAUCAGACAGUUCAACCAUUUAAAAUGUGCAAUUCAGUAUCUGUUAGUAUAUUCACAGCAUUUUCAUCACCCUGAAAAGCAACCCUACAUCUGCUAGGCAUGACUGCAACCUUCCUCCAUGUCCCUCCACCUACCCCUGUUGUAGGCAACCACCAUCUACUUUUGUCUCCAUAGGUUUGCCUGUUAUGCAUAUUUCAUAUACGUAGAGUUAGACAAUAUGCAGUCCUUUGUGACUGGCUUUUUCCCUUAGCUUAAUGUUUUCAGAAUUCAUGCAUGUUUUAGCACACAUUGGUAGUUGAUUUCUUCUUAUAGUUAAAUGAUACUCUAUUGCAUGGCUAUACUGGUUUUCCAUUAAUUCAUCAGUUGAUGGACCUUUAGGUUAGUUUCCACUUCUAGCUGUUAUGAAAAAUGCUGCUGCAAACAUUCACUUACAGGGUAUUAUGUGGACACGUGUUUUUAUUUCCCUGCCAUUGGACUUUAUCCUCAGAGUUAAUUGGGCAGAUUUCAGCACUUGUCUUGCUCAUGCUAUCCUUUCUGCCUUCUCAGUUUCUGUUCAUCUAGCCUCAUUCAUUCAGACCUGGCAGACAAUUUUUUUGUUUUUAUGAAGCUUUCUCUGACUGUUCUGACUCUGAUUGACCUUAUGUGUUAGGAAUUGUUGUCUAGUCUGUGCAUAAAACUUAGUCCUUAAUUUUUCAUGGCUUUUAUUUUUUUAUGGAAGAUAAUUUUGUCUCAGUGUAAAUUUGCUUAAUGGGGGAAUAAUAUAUAAUAUGUAUGCCACCUAUCCUGCAUACAUUGAAAAUAUUUUAGCUUAGAAGUUUUUAGCAUACAAUUAAAUACUUUAUACCAUACCAAUUAUUUGUUCUUUGAGACCUUGGCACAGUAAGGUUUAUAUUCUAAAUGUAUUUUUAGCAAUUAAAUAUCAAAUCUAAACCAAUUAGUCUAAUAGAGGUGAAUCGUUCAAUCACAUGUUUAUGUUUUUCUCACUAUGAAAAAGAAUCUAAAUUGGCAUUUUUUCACUAUGCAGCCAGAAUUGCGUUUCUGGACUGCUACCAGUUUGUCAGCUGAACAGUUCUGGCUGCAGCUUGUCUGAUGAACAAUAGCACAGCUUCUCAAUCUGAGUGCUCAGCAGAGUGCUUGUGAACCAGCACCACAGCAACAGUUGCUCAGAGGGAACUGAUUCAGGAGCCUUGAUUUAGCAAUAGAGUCCAGGGUUUUCAGCUCAGUGUCUUUAGCCUGUCUCUGCUGGUCAUGUCAGUUAUGUACUAUUCAAUCCAGGAGGUGCUAUUUACAUUGUAGUACAUACAUAGUCAUUGCCUACUCAGUCAUGCACAGAGAAAGGUAAGUUAUAAAUUAUAUGCCCCCCAUUUGCUGCAACUCUCAGUGGUGAGAAGAAUGAUUCAGUGCAGCUGUAGGAGACUACUUCCAUUGGCAUACCACCUGCCUAAUAUACACAAUUUUGUUAAGAUAUACAAUAAAAUUAUUAUGCUAAUAGCAAGUAUUUUAUGUAGCUCACUAUGUUGCACGUACUCUUCUAAGUGCUUCAUGUUAGUCCCCAGUUAAACACCUGGUUGGGGGAGGUGGCUCAUGCCAGUAAUCCUAGCAUUUUGGAAGGCUGAGGCAGGAGGAUCACUUGAGCCCAGGAGUUUGAGAUCAGCCAGAGCAAUAUAAUGAGACCCUGUCUUUAAUAAAUAAA